UGUCGUGAGAUGUUGGGUUAAGUCCGCAACGAGCGCNACCCUUGUUCCUAGUUGCNAGCGGUUCGGCCGGGCNCUCUAGGGAGACUGCCGGUGACAAACCGGAGGAAGGUGGGGAUGACGUCAAGUCCUCAUGGCCUUUAUGUCCAGGGCUACWCACGUGCUACAAUGGCGCGUACAGAGGGAAGCCAAGCCGCGAGGUGGAGCAGACCCCAGAAAGCGCGUCGUAGUUCGGAUUGCAGUCUGCAACUCGACUGCAUGAAGUCGGAAUCGCUAGUAAUCGCGGAUCAGCAUGCCGCGGUGAAUAC
rnacentral:rRNA from 1 species